rnacentral:rRNA from 1 species
AUUGAACGCUGGCGGCAGGCCUAACACAUGCAAGUCGAGCGGAAACGAGUUAUCUGAACCUUCGGGGAAUGAUAACGGCGUCGAGCGGCGGACGGGUGAGUAAUGCCUAGGAAAUUGCCCUGAUGUGGGGGAUAACCAUUGGAAACGAUGGCUAAUACCGCAUGAUGCCUACGGGCCAAAGAGGGGGACCUUCGGGCCUCUCGCGUCAGGAUAUGCCUAGGUGGGAUUAGCUAGUUGGUGAGGUAAGGGCUCACCAAGGCAACGAUCCCUAGCUGGUCUGAGAGGAUGAUCAGCCACACUGGAACUGAGACACGGUCCAGACUCCUACGGGAGGCAGCAGUGGGGAAUAUUGCACAAUGGGCGCAAGCCUGAUGCAGCCAUGCCGCGUGUAUGAAGAAGGCCUUCGGGUUGUAAAGUACUUUCAGCAGUGAGGAAGGCGGGUACGUUAAUAGCGUGCUCGUUUGACGUUAGCUGCAGAAGAAGCACCGGCUAACUCCGUGCCAGCAGCCGCGGUAAUACGGAGGGUGCGAGCGUUAAUCGGAAUUACUGGGCGCAAAGCGCAUGCAGGUGGUUUGUUAAGUCAGAUGUGAAAGCCCGGGGCUCAACCUCGGAAUAGCAUUUGAAACUGGCAGACUAGAGUACUGUAGAGGGGGGUAGAAUUUCAGGUGUAGCGGUGAAAUGCGUAGAGAUCUGAAGGAAUACCGGUGGCGAAGGCGGCCCCCUGGACAGAUACUGACACUCAGAUGCGAAAGCGUGGGGAGCAAACAGG